rnacentral:rRNA from 1 species
GAUGAACGCUGGCGGCGUGCCUAAUACAUGCAAGUCGAGCGAACAGACGAGGAGCUUGCUCCUCUGACGUUUUCGGCGGAAGGGUGAGUAACACGCGGAUAACCCAUCUAUAAGACUGGGAUAACUUCGGGAAACCGGAGCUCUUACCGGAUAAUCUAUUUAACCGCAUCGUUCAAUAGUGAAAAACGGUUUUGCUUACACUUAUGCUUGGAUCCGCGCCGCAUUAGCUAGUUGGUAAGGUAACGGCUUACCAAGGCAACGAUGGGUAGCCGACCUGAGAGGGGGACCGGCCACACGGGAACGGGGACACGGUCCAGCCUCCUACGGAAGGCAGCAGGAGGGAAUCUUCCGCAAAGGGCGAAGGCCUGACGGAGCAACGCCGCGUGAGGGAUGAAGGUCUUCGGAUCGAAAAACUCUGUUAUUAGGGAAGAACAAAUGUGUAAGUAACUAUGCACGUCUUGACGGUACCUAAUCAGAAAGCCACGGCUAACUACGUG